GACGAACGCUGGCGGCGUGCUUAACACAUGCAAGUCGAACGGAAAGGCCCUGCUUUUGUGGGGUGCUCGAGUGGCGAACGGGUGAGUAACACGUGAGUAACCUGCCCUUGACUUUGGGAUAACUUCAGGAAACUGGGGCUAAUACCGGAUAGGAGCUCCUGCUGCAUGGUGGGGGUUGGAAAGUUUCGGCGGUUGGGGAUGGACUCGCGGCUUAUCAGCUUGUUGGUGGGGUAGUGGCUUACCAAGGCUUUGACGGGUAGCCGGCCUGAGAGGGUGACCGGCCACAUUGGGACUGAGAUGCGGCACAGACUGCUACGGGAGGCAGCAGUGGGGAAGCUUGCACAAUGGGCGGAAGCCUGAUGCAGCAACGCCGCGUGCGGGAUGACGGCCUUCGGGUUGUAAACCGCUUUCGCCUGUGACGAAGCGUGAGUGACGGUAAUGGGUAAAGAAGCACCGGCUAACUACGCG
rnacentral:rRNA from 1 species